GGCCAGGCCCUGGGCGACGCAGGUCCCCGAACCCCGCCAGGUCCGGAAGGAAGCAACGGUAGGGGAAUCCGGCGGGUGCACCAGAACAGCCCGGCCGUC
rnacentral:SRP_RNA from 1 species